UUUUUUCUUUUGGAAAUCUAGAAAUUAACUAUUUUUUCAAUUAACCAACCAAAAAAGAAGAAUUAGGAAAAAUCAUCACCUUCUCCGGGAUUAGCCAUGAGACCAUUUGAAGGAGCUUUCAUGAUUAUCAAAACCCUCCUUUUUUUGACAAUCAAACCCAAUUAAUAAUUCCCAACAAAAAAAAAUCCACAAAUUUUUGUUUGCUCUUUACUACAACUUCAAACCCAGAACAAGCAUCUUCAACAUUGCCUUCAUAUCACUACACCCACAUUUACCAAAUCAGCCCAGAAAUCAAAUUCCAGCAACAAUAAUCUUGCUCAAAAUAUUCAAAUUAUACCACCAUUUUCACAGCUCAAUUCCUUCAAAACAAACCCAGAAUUUUCCCAAACAAUCGUGCUCAAAAUGAACCGCCAUUAACAGUUCAAUUCCUUCAUAAACAAACCUAGAAAUGCGUCGAUAAAAACUGGGAUUUCGCCUCAGAUAUCACAUAGAUUAACAAACUAUUUCUUCAAAUCAAUCAAAUUUAAAGCAAUACCCACUUCCUUAAAUCAUGUAAUUUCGCAGAAAAAAGCAAACUUUCAGCUGAAAAAACUCAGUCCAAUAAAAGUUCACUUCAGCUUGUUGCGUCGGAAAUAAAGUUAUGCAUGACUGAUGUUAGGCUUUUAUUUUAUAUCCCAUUUGUUUGCAACUUAGUGGGAAUGCUUGAUUUGGUGGAUGUGGAUGAUGUAUUGGUUUUCGAGUUUUCUUUGUUUUGAUUCCUGAGUUUUCUCUGGUUUCUUCAGCUCUGCCACAUCCUCUCUUUUUUGCAUAUGUUCUUACCAAAAAAUUUCUGACUGAUCCUUCUGCAGUCCAAAUUAGAUUUCAUCUAUUCUCUUUGAUUGAUUUAUUUCCAUGAUUUAUGUAUUGAAAGUGUUAAUUCCUUUCUUUGUUGUUUAUGGGUUUCGUUUUAAUUUUCUCAUUUUAGUUUUCUUUCAUUAGUCGAGUAUUAGUGUUAAUUUGUCAAAUGUUAACUAUCUAUGCUACACAUAUACUUAUUGUAACUCUCAUCAACAUCUGACUGUAGUGGGAAUGUUUAAAGUAUAUAGAAAUUUUGACAGAUAAACUCUGGAUAGCUGGGUUUUCUUUGCAGAAUUUCAUUUUCGAGUUUUUUAUUUAUUCCCGAGUCUUGUUAGUUAUGAUUUCUUCCUGUAUUCAAUUUGUGUUUUUAAUAUGUCAAAUUGUUUUCGGAGUUUUGACGGUCCUAGGAUAAUUUUGUCAUAUGGUAAUAAUUCAACUUCUGUCUUUUUUUUGUUACAGAUCUUGCCUGAGGAGGUUGAGACAACACUCAAAGAGGCUUCCAUGAUUUCCAUGGGAACUGAAGUCAGCGAUCUUGAUCUAACAAAUAUCUCGAAACUCCGCGACCAAGUUUUGUCUUUAGCUGAAUACAAGCUCAACUAUAUGAUUAUCUGAAAAGCAGAAUGAACACAAUUGCUCCAAAUAUGACUUCUCUUGUUGGUGAGCUUGUUGGUGCUCAUCUUAUUGAUCAUAUAUAGUGGUAGCUUGAUAAAUCUUCUGGAAGCACAGUACAAAUUCUUGGGGCAGAAAGGGCUCUUUUCAGAGCUUUGAAAACAAAGCAUGUAACCCCUAAACAUGGGCUUAUCUAUCAGCACCCUUGAUUUGCCAGGUUGCCCCUAAAAACUAGUGAUCUACCUGAUUUUUAAGGUGAUUUGCAGGAAAUCCCGCUCUCAGAAAAUAAAAUAAGUGGAACCCUAGGUGAUUCACUCACCUCAGCUGAAAAAGUCUCACAUCAAAGCCUUGAGGUGUUGGAUUUGUCCCAUAAUGUGUUGACCGGGGCAAUUCCAUCAUCACUUGGUAAUUUUAGCAGCAUGGAGUUCUUGAAUUUGUCCAAGAGCACUUUGACAGGCUCAAGCAAUGUUAGGGAAUUAAGAGAGAUGAAUGUUCUUGAUUUAAGCGACAAAGGGUUUAAUGGGAUAGUCUGGCCAUCUAAUCGAAUAUGACAGGUUGCCGUUAUUCUUGGAGGGCCAUUGGUUGGAAAACCCCAGAGUACAUGCAUUUAAUUUUCUAAGCUUGGUCCAGGUACCUGAGACCAUCCGACCUAUUGCACUUGCUCAGGCUAAUGCUGCUAUCAAUCGAAUUGAUAUUCUAUGUGAGGCUUAUGCAUAUUUGCAGAUUGCAGGAGCAUCACUAUUUGGUAUUCUUUUGUCCAAAUAUGACCCUGUGACCUGUGUGAAAUUCGCAGCUGGGUUUAUGAUAUGGGGUUUAUUGCUUGCGGUUGCUCUCACUUGGUUAACCAACAUGGUUUAAACUGGUGUUCUUGACCGUGUAAAGUGUUCACAUACCUGUUCUGAAAGUCCUGCUAAAUUGACCCAAGAGAAUAAUAAGAAUAUAGAAAUCGGACUUGGAGCUCAGGAAGAACAAUCCAUCAGACGGGAAGUAUAAAACUUUGGUUGAGGUACUGCGGGGAACGAUGGAAUCGAUUGUGGCGAGGAAUUUCACCUUAGUAUUAAUCAUCUAGCUUAUGCUUAAUUUUUUAAUAGUUUAAUUAAAGACUCUUAGUAAGUUAUGUACUUUUAUUUUGGGAAUAUAAAGGAUUAUUAUAUUAAUUUGGGUUUUAAUAGCUUAUGUUAUGAUAGUUGCCUUGUAAUUCCCAAGAGGGGGUUACGGUAGGUAAUGUCCCGACCAAAUUAGGUUAAUUCCGCUGCUAAUUAUUCUUUAAUACUUGAAUUAAAGGUCAGGGUGUUACAAUAACAUUAGCUGAAUGUUUAUCUGUUGUUUACAGUUUAGGUAUUGAUGCAAUUAAACAUGGGUGGUCUGAGUGUCUUCAACAGCUUGUUCUUCCUGCAAGUGUAGCAUAUGUGUUCCUGUAUAUCAAACAUUGUUCUCACCCCUGGUGGCUUGAUGACUGCGUUUUUGACACAUCGUGUCUGUGAAAAGUCCAGUGACUAUUUGCGAUUUUGCGGUGACAUCCAUGGGCAGUUUCAUGAUCUUGCGGAGCUUUUUCGUAUUGGUGGGAAGUGUCCAGAUACAAAUUACUUAUUUAUGGGUGAUUAUGUUGACCGAGGAUAUUAUUCAGUGGAGACUGUGACGCUCCUGGUUGCACUUAAAGUCCGCUAUUCCUAGAGGAUCACUAUUCUUAUAGGGCAUCAUGAAAGUCGUCAGAUUACUCAAGUUUAUGGGUUCUACGAUGAAUGCUUGCGGAAUUGAGUAUCUAACACUCAAAUUCACUCCAGUCUAUAUUCGUCUGACUAUGGCAUUUGUUGUUUGAGGAAGUCCAUGCUUAUAGUUAGAUACAUCUAAUUAGAAAAUUUCUCUUUUUGGAGAUGCUAAUUGUAACGGAACUACCAAUAUGCCGAUGAGGCUUACUGUAGUUUCAGUACCUACCUUAUGUGAAAUCAUACGGAUGACUUCUUAUUUCAUUUAGCCUUUUUGUUAGUUCGGUCACAUUGCGUAAUUUAUCUUUGAAAGUCCACCUUUUUCACUUUUUCACUUUUUUGUAAUAUAUGUAAUUGUGUUUAGAUGUAAUAUGAUAUUUAGAUGUAAUUUGUUUCUCCUAUAUAA